AUUCUUCAGGUGGAAUGGCUGGGUCCCCACUGGAUGGUGGGCAGAAGUACAGUGAGCAGUGUGUUUUAGGGAUUUGACUCAAAGAACCUUCAGAUGUGACCUCAUCUCAUUAUCGCAAUAGCCCUAUGGGACUGGAGGAGCUGAGCAUAUUUGCUGGUGGAUUACAGAUGAGAAUAAGUUCAAUAGCUCAGGCUCUUUUCCAUUGGUUCUCACAGAGUGUGCUUCUCGAGGGAGAGCAGCUGGGGCUUCCAUUGAACCCAGGUCUCUUCCCUUCUGCCUCAGGGAUCAUGUCCUUUUUCCUGUUGAAGCCAACCGGACCACUGGUGCUCUUUUUUUUUUUUCUUCCUUUCCUUUUCAAUACUAUUUUUUUUUUUUUUUUUGGUAGAGACAGAGUCUCACUUUACUGCCCUGAGUAGAGUGCCAUGAUGUCACACUGCUCACAGCAACCUCCAGCUCCUGGGCUUAGGUGAUUCUCUUGCCUCCCGAGCAGCUGGGACUACAGGCGCCCGCCACAACGCCCGGCUAUUUUUUUGUUACAGUUUGGCCGGGGCCGGGUUUGAACCCGAUACCCUCGGUAUAUGGGGCCGGUGCCCUACUCACUGAGCCAUAGGCGCUGCCCACCUUUCAAUAUUGUUUUAUGGUGGCAAAUACAUGGCAGAAGUUACUAUAUCGACCAUGUUUAAGUAUGUUCACGACCAUGUUCAGUGGCAUUAAGAACAUUCACAUUGUCGUGUAACCAUCAUCACCAUCUGUCCACAGAACUCUUUUCCAUGCUGCCAUAUGAAACUCUGUACCUAUUGAAUAGCAACUCCUCCACCAGCCCUGGGUGAUCUCCAUUCUACUCUGUCUUAUGCAUUUGAAUACCCUCAGCACCUCAUAUAAGUGGAUUAUACAGUGGAUUAUUCAUCUUUUUGUGACUUUUAUUUCACUUAGCAUAGUGUUCUCAAGAUUCGCUGAUGUAGCAUGUGUGAGAAUUUCCUUCUUUUUAUUUAUUUAUAUUGAUAUUUUUUAUUUUUUUGAGACAAAGCCUCAAGCUGUCACCCUGGGUAGAGUACUGUGGCAUCACAGCUCACAGCAACCUCAAACUCUCAGGCGGCAUCACAGCUCACAGCAAACUCUUCGGCUUAAGCGAUUCUCUUGCCUCAGCCUCCCAACUAGCUGGGACUACAGGCGCCCACCACCACACCUGGCUGUUUUUUGGUUGUAGUUGUUAUUGUUGUUUGGCAGGCCGUGGUUGGAUUUGAACCCACUGUCUCUGGUGUAUGUGGCUGGCCCCUUAGCCGCUUGAGCUACAGGCGCCGAGCCUCCUUCUUUUUAAAGGCUGACUAAUACUCCAUUGUAUGUGUGUGCCAUAGCAUGUGUGUAUGUUGUUUAUCUGCUCAUCUGUGAUGUACACUUGGGCCGCUUCUACCUUUUGGCUAUUGUGAACGAAGCUCCUAUCUUCUAUAAACAUGGGUGUACACAUAUCUCUUCAAGACCCUGCUUUCACGCCACCUGGGUGAAGGGCUCAACUACAACUUGAACUUUACCUUUGAAUUUUAAUCAAUGUAUCUUAAACAUUUGUACCCUCAUAUUAAUCUGGAAAAAAAGGACUCUGGUUUCCAUUCUUUUGGGAAUAUACCCAGAAGAGGAAUUAUUGGAGUGAAUAAUAAUUUUAUUUUUAGUAUUUGAGGAAUGUCAAAUGUUUUGUCUCAUUCUGUAGGUUGCCUUUUCACUCUGUUGGUAGUAUCCCUUGAUGCACAAAAGUUUUAAAUUUUUAUGAAGUCCAGUUUGUCUAUUUUUUGCUUUUGAUGCCUGAGCCUUUAGUGUCCAAAGAAAUCAUCGCCAGAUCCAAUCUUGUGAAGCUUUUGUCCUAUGUUUUCUUCUAGGAGUUUUAUAGCUUUACUUCUUAUGUUUAAUUCUUUGAUACUUUUAAUUUUUCAUAUGGUGUUAGGUAAUGUUCCAACCUUAUUCUUUUGCACUGGAUAUCCAGUUUCUCCAGCAUCAACUGUUGAAAUGACUGUCCCUUUCCUCCUGAAAGUUAUUUGCACUCCUGUCAAAAAUCAUUUGACCAUAUACGUGAGGGCUUCUUUCUGGAUUCUAUUUUAUCCCAUGGAUCUAUAUAUCUGUAUGUCUGUCUUUAUGCCAAUACUGCUGAGGCCAACACUGUUUUGAUUACUGUAGCUUUGUAGUUAGUUUUGACAUCAGAAAUUGUGAGACCUCUAACUUUUUCUUUUUCAAGAUUGUUUUGGCUGCUCAAGUUCCCUUGAGAUUUCAUAUGAUUUUAGGAUGGAUUUUUCUAUUUCUGCAGUUGCUGGGAGCCACUGAUGCAUUUCACUGUCCUUCUCCAUCAAGGUUCCCCUUUAUCUUCUGUCCUCAUUAGCUCUCUCCUAGCUGUGAAAGUGCUCACAUCUUUAUCAUCCCAGCAACUACUCCCUUGAUGCCGUGUCCACCUCAGCUAUUUGUUCUAUUUAUCUUUAUAUAUUUUCUUUUUUUCUUUUGCAGUUUCUUUUUGGCCUGGGCUGGGUUUGAACCCACCACCUCUCGCAUAUGGGGCUGGCGCCCUACUCCUUUGAGCCACAGCUUCUUAAAAAAGAAGCUCACUCUCACUCCCCACUUCCUCACAUAUGCUCAUAUGCUUCUUUUUAUUAGUUGA